ensembl:lncRNA
CUCAGUAAUGCCAAACUGGAGAACUCAUUUUUCUGAAACAGGUGCUAGAGGACUUCUUCAGCCCAGAGGAUGUGGAUAGAGUGGCCCUACAGGGGUUGACCCUGAACCAGACUCCCUGCCCUCCCCACCCCCAGACAGCAACCGACUACAGCCCUGCGACCCACCACCAAGCCCCCGUCAAAUGGGUUCGCCACAUCAUCCGCAGCGUGGAGGAGCAGUUUGUCGACGCAGAGGAUUGAGGUCCGGUGUGUCCUGAUACACUUUUUAUUAGUUAACUCUUUAAUCGUAAGCUCUUAGGAAUGAUAUUUUAGUUGGUUUCUCAGGUGUCAGGGUUAGGGUUAGUAUUACUUGUUCCUUGGUUUGUUAAUGAAUUAGGAUGUCAUAUUUGUAGCCUCGUUGACAGUUGGGUUACAUGUUAACAAUUCAUUAUUUUUUUUGUGAAUCAUUUCAAUAGAUGUGUAGUCUAACUCUUAACUAAAAGAGAAAUUGUAGUUUUUAUCUUAUUUUUUAAAUACUUUUGUUUUAAAAGCAAUCACCUGAUAUAGGCCCAUGUGUUCAAGUGUCACUCCCUUUAAAAUCAUAUGUGUUAAAAUGGAGAGGGCACAGUGCAAGAAUAAGUAUGUUUGGAUAUAUUCUCAAAUGGAUUUUCCUGAUUGAUUCUGAGCCCAUGGAGAGCAAGAGGUCAGGUUGCCAUGACUACAGCACCCUGUAAGACACCACCCACUGGGCACAGAUGUCAAUUCAACGUCUAUUCCAAGUUGGUUCAAUGUAAUUUCAUUGAAAUGGUGUGGAAACAAUGUUGAUUCAACCAGUGUGCGCUCAGUGGAAAUGAAAUUCAGCUUUUGAGAUCCAAGAUAUCUUUAAUGCAAAUAAACCAUGCAUUUUAACAACAAAA